GACUCUUACAUUGUACUAUGAAUAAAGGGGCACCUGCAAGACUGUUGUAGUGUUCCCCAAAGGAAGGGGCACCUGCAGGACUAUUGGAGUGUUCCUUGAAGGAAGGGGCACCUGCAGGACUAUUGGAGUGUUCCUUUAAGGAAGGGGCACCUGCAGGACUAUUGGAGUGUUCCUUUAAGGAAGGGGCACCUGCAGGACUAUUGGAGUGUUCCUUUAAGGAAGGGGCACCUGCAGGACUAUUGGAGUGUUCCUUUAAGGAAGGGCAUUUUGAAGAUUUUAACACUGUUCUCUGAAAUAAGGGACACUCUCAAGACUAUUACAGCAUUCCCUGAAGGAAGGGGCACUCUCAAGACUGUUACAGCAUUCCCUAGAGGAAGGGGCACUCUCAAGACUGUUACAGCAUUCCCUGAAGGAAGGGGCACUCUCAAGGCUGUUACAGCAUUCCCUGAAGGAAGGGGCACUCUCAAGGCUGUUACAGCAUUCCCUGAAUGAAGGGGAACCUGCAAGACUGUUACAGCAUUCCCCGAAGGAAGGGGCACUGUAACAGUGCCUUAUGAAGGAGGAUGUAAGUAGAGAAACAGUUGACAGUGUUCUCUAAAGGUUGGGGCACCUUCAACACUGUUGCACUUCUCUGAAGGAAGGGGUACAUGCCAGACUAUUACAGAAUU